rnacentral:rRNA from 1 species
AUUGAACGCUGGCGGCAUGCUUUACACAUGCAAGUCGAACGGUAACAGGGAGCUUGCUCCGCUGACGAGUGGCGAACGGGUGAGUAAUAUAUCGGAACGUACCCAAGAGUGGGGGAUAACGUAGCGAAAGUUACGCUAAUACCGCAUACGAUCCAAGGAUGAAAGUGGGGGACCGCAAGGCCUCAUGCUCCAGGAGCGGCCGAUAUCUGAUUAGCUAGUUGGUGAGGUAAAGGCGCACCAAGGCAACGAUCAGUAGCUGGUCUGAGAGGACGACCAGCCACACUGGGACUGAGACACGGCCCAGACUCCUACGGGAGGCAGCAGUGGGGAAUUUUGGACAAUGGGGGCAACCCUGAUCCAGCAAUGCCGCGUGAGUGAAGAAGGCCUUCGGGUUGUAAAGCUCUUUUGUCAGGGAAGAAACGGGAAUGGCUAAUAUCCAUUUCUAAUGACGGUACCUGAAGAAUAAGCACCGGCUAACUACGUGCCAGCAGCCGCCGCGGUAA